rnacentral:rRNA from 1 species
UACGUAGGCAGCAAGCGUUGUUCGGAUUGACUGGGCGUAAAGGGCGUGUAGGCGGUUGGUCAAGUCUGAUGUGAAAGCCCGGGGCUCAACCCCGGGUCGGCCGUGGCAACUGUCGAGCUGGAGCACUGUAGAGGCAGGUGGAAUUCCGGGUGUAGCGGUGGAAUGCGUAGAGAUCCGGAAGAACACCGGUGGCGAAGGCGGCCUGCUGGGCAGUGGCUGACGCUGGGGCGCGACAGCGUGGGGAGCAAACAGG